CUGAAUAUAUUUCUGUAAUACUUGGUAGCUAUAUAGCUACCAUAAAUUGCUCUUAUUCUCUUAUAUUUGGAUUUUCAGGUUUGUCAUAAAUGAUUAUCAAGGAAUACGUUGUCACUAAAGCAGCCUAAGCGUCUUGUCCUUUCCUUGGGACAAAGUGUUUGGUCACUGGUGUGCAUAUUUUUGUCAAGACCUUUGAUAUGGAUUGCCAGAUUGCUCUCUGAUUUUUGCCCCAUCUGCUAUGUACAAGUCUCAUAUCCAUACCCUUGCCAAUACUGGAUGCUCCUUUUCCAGAAUGCCUUUUUAUGCUAGUAGUUUUGACAAAUAACCAGGAGGUCUGUUUUCUAAGCAUUAUGGUUUCCCAUGCUUGUGAGUUCACGCAUUGCUGGUAUGUAUGUAUAUGUGUAUGUAUGUGUAGUUUUGCUAAAUAGGAGUAUAUCCUGUAUCCACAGAGAAAUCUACUUCCUGAAAGCUCUAAGGUAAAGUGAUCAGCUGAACAGUUUAUGUGGAAAAAGAAAUGGUGGCCUCAGGUAGCGGCUAAUGUGCUGAGUCAUUCCAGCUACACACAGGACAUCUCCAGCAGCACCCCACACUGCACCUUCUCACUCUGCACUGUCCCUGCUCCUUUUGGACUCAUCUGGGUGACUCUGUCACUACACUGACACCCGGCAGUCACUCUAGUCUCCUUCCCCAUUACUGUGUUCAUGCAUCCCCCACCAUCUAAUUCAGCCCAGCAUUGCCUUCACUACCACACCUGAACUUGGACUUGCUUCUCCUGUGAAUGUGAGUGGUUUCCCCCAGCCUAGGACUUUUUGGGACUGUUUACAUGGGGAUGUUAGCUUCUGUGGGAUACUUGGCUAUAAAAAGCCAGAGCUGCUAAUAGCUACAUGAUAUUUGAUUGAGUUCUCAUGUAGCUCUGUGCUUUUAUCUGUACGCUAUUUACCUAAGCAAAAUUAGUAAUACACAUGUUGAAGUGUUCUUUCACAGGACUCUCCAGGGCAAGCAGAGGAAGCUGCAAGGUGGUGGGGCAGCAGUGGAAUCGACACCAAGCCGCUUGCAGGGCUGUGCCACGAAGACGGUCAGCUUGGCCCUGAGUAGACACUAAUAAGCCCUGCUUCCGUCCUGCUGUCACAGCGGCAUCCUUCCUUCCACUCCUCACAGCUUGACUGCUCCUCAAUAACUGGAAAUGCAGCAAAUUGGAGCUCUUUCUCCUGCCUGGUCUCAGGUCUCAGGAGAGGCAACUGAGGUGCGAGAUUUCACACAUAGGUGUCAGAGAUAGGCCACCAUCUCCUCAGCUCAGAUGAAUGGAUAGAGGAAGUUGGGCUAAGGUUUUUAUCCACAGGGAGAGGAGGAGCACAGAAUAGCAUGGAGAUGAAAUGACACGGAAUCCCCUGAUCUACUGUCACCGCUGCACACUUAAGGCGAGGUGGAGAUUUGAGGAGAAUGAGAGCACCCCCCUCCCAUGUCCUUUGGAGCUAGCUUUGAAUAAAUCUUCCCUUUCCAUCAAAAUAAAUGGCCUCCCACAUUUCUUGGAGAGCAAGUAGUGCAGACCUGCAUGACAGGAGCAUCCCCACAUCCAGCCUGCAGUGCUAGAAAGAGCAAAAUCCCAAGAACUGUACUGGGUUUCACAAUGAACCUCAUCUACCUUAAUCUCUGUCAGAAACACCUGUCACUCUGGUUCUUCUACCUAUGCCUUUUCAUACCACUAGAUUCCUGAAAGUCUGGAGGGGGAGAGCAGUGUCCCUGUGAAAAGGUAGCAUUUUCAUGACCUUAUAGGACAUUGCCUACCCUCUGUCUUCGCUAACAGCCUCCAGAGGGUCAGAAGACACCAGUGUCACUGACCGGUCAGCCCAGGACAUGACUCAACCAUAUUGGUGAAAGAAAAAGGAAAUGAAACAUGGUUAGCCACAAGGACUACUCUUCAGAGGCCUCCUCAGGCUAUAGACAGCCCCAAUGAUGCUGGCCCUCACCAGGCACUACCUCUCCAUGCCAUCUCUGCACUCUGCUACCUGAGUCAUGUUCAUCUCCAGCUGCUUCCUCAGCCAGCAGGGAACCUGCGAAUGUGGUUUGGAUGUAACUCAAAACUGGCUGGGAGCUGUGCCUUAUCACUGUGGGUCCCAGUGCCCAUGGCCCAGAAGGUGUGAACAACAAAACCCACUGGGAAAAGAAGUCACAGUCCUUCCUGCUUCUUCACAACAUUCAGCACUGACUGGGAAAAGACCAGCCAUGAAAUCACGUCUGACCUACUUCCUACUGCCCUCAAACCAGAGAGCAGGCUAUCACAGAACUUUAGGUGGAAAGAAGAAUGUUUUCAUGGUCUCAGCUGGUACUGAAGUCUGAGAGACAGCGAGCAGUGUGCUCCUGGGGUGAAGAGGACCGACUCAGGCGCCUUGGGUGCCAGGAAUGUGGACUGAGUGAGUCUGAGCCGAGCCGCAGCUCUGUAGUCUUUAAGGAAGAAUGAAUGCUUGGGCUGCCUCACAGCUUGUCCUUGGCCUUCUGUACCCCGCUCCCCUCCAGGCCAGUCACACAGAGUGCUACACUCUCACUGCUCGCUGCCAUGCGUCUCUGCUGCUGGUCACCUUGACACACAGACAAGGCCAAGUGCCCCACUGUGAGGUCACCAGGGCGCUCCCACUGCGUGAAGUAAGUGAGUGGGUGAGUCCUGAGCAUUGCACCCCUGCUUCCUCUUCAGACAGAUCCAGAUCAAAGUCACACAAACAAGACCUCCAUUUGCAAAGAAAAUCUUUGAAGGACAAGAACAAAAGAAAGCCAUCUGCUACUAUUCCCAGCAACCUGGGUAGAAGCCACAGGCCAGCAGCCUGGGUAGACCCGAUGCUGAUCACACCCGUCCCUGUUAGCAUAUUAUGUAAUCCACUGUCCCCACCAGCUCGAAUAUGAGCUCAGUGGUGACAGAGGACUUUCUGCAGCAUUUUGUGUCCCAGAGCCUAGAACAAUGAUGUAAGUGUAUAGUAAAUAUUUGUUGAUUGAACAGGUGAAUGAGAAACUACAGUGAUACGAUUACAUUACAUGUUUAAGCAAAGCCAUUGUGGGAAGUUCUUGCCAAGGUUUUGAAAUAGUUGGAGAAAAAGCUUCAAUCAAUAAAAUGAAUCCUAGGAGUUGACAGUUUUUGCCAAUAAAACAGCGGCCACAGUGUUACCAAGCUGAUAUUCACAACGGAGCCAAACCAUGACUUGGCUUUUUACUUCACUGCCUCCACUAAAAACUCCCUUCCUGGCCCAGAAAUGGUUCUUUGUUGGGAGGCACACAGGGAAGGUGGUGAAUCCAUCAGCUAUAAUAUACUUUGAGGUGUCUGGAGACCCACCUUCCCUCAGCAGCAGAGCUCUGAAAGUUUCCAACCACACCUGGCUGCAGAACAGUGAAGAGCCAGGCUGGGUAGGGAGAAAGCAGGCAGAGUGCAGAAAAGGACAGGUACAGAGGGAUAUGGGGAAGUGGAUGUGGGUGGGCUGUAGCCUUGGCCAUUUGCAUAAAGGCAGGGUGGGCUCCAGAGGUAGCCUGAGCUUGGGGCAUGGGAAGGUUGCCAGCUGGCACCAGCGCUGUGAGCAGAGGAAAGGCUGCAGCCAUAAGUACAAUUCAAAGAGCCGUCCAAGCAGAGGCCAUAGGCUUUCUGCUUCCAGGAGAGGUACGGCACGUUUAGGGAUGUGCGUUCAGGUCUGGGUUCACCCCUCUCAUGGAUGCAGAGCAGUAGGUACCACGCUUGCCCACUAGUUAACACUGACCUGUGUGCUGACCCCUCUUUUCCUAAUUUUUAUCAUUGUCUACAGCUGACAUCCUUUGAGUGGUCCUAAUAGCUAUCUGUGAGGUUAUCAACCUUUUCUCUUUCAUAGUAUCCCAAGGCAGACAGCCAGAUACUAUGAAGACCAUGAGGAGGACACACUGCACACUGCACAGUGGCCCUUGAGAUGUUCUCAUCCCAAAGCACAUGGCAUGGACUGAGGUCAUGUGUGGCGACUCUGGAGACUGUACGGAACGACUAUGUCACCAAGGUGGGGCUCAAGUAAGGUGCUUACACUUAGAACAGACAUAUAUGACAAUUUACAAGGAAUUUUGUGGCUGAAAACCUUAAAUAAAAAUUACAAUUAAGUGAUCAGCCAAAUAUUGGGAAAUCAGUCUUUUUAUAUUACUAACAUUAAG